GCCUCGGUAGCUUAGUUGGUUAAAGCGCCGUACUUAUAAUGCGAAGGUCGAGAGUUCGAAACUCUCCCAGGGCA